rnacentral:rRNA from 1 species
CCUACGGGUGGCAGCAGUGAGGAAUAUUGGUCAAUGGUCGGGAGACUGAACCAGCCAAGCCGCGUGAGGGAGGAAGGUACUGAGUAUUGUAAACCUCUUUUGUCAGGGAACAAUAACUGGGACGCGUCCCCGGAUGACUGUACCUGAAGAAUAAGCAUCGGCUAACUCCGUGCCAGCAGCCGCGGUAAUACGGAGGAUGCGAGCGUUAUCCGGAUUUAUUGGGUUUAAAGGGUGCGUAGGCGGUCUGUUAAGUCAGUGGUCAAAGGUCGGGGCUCAACCCCGGCCCGCCGUUGAAACUGGCAGUCUCGAGUUGGAGAGAAGUAUGCGGAAUGAGCGGUGUAGCGGUGAAAUGCAUAGAUAUCGCGCAGAACUCCGAUAGCGAAGGCAGCAUGCCGGCUCCACACUGACGCUGAGGCACGAGAGCGUGGGUAUCGAACAGGAUUAGAUACCCUUGUAGUC